rnacentral:rRNA from 1 species
UACGUAGGGUCCGAGCGUUGUCCGGAGUUACUGGGCGUAAAGCGCGCGUAGGUGGCUUCGUAAGUCCGUUGUGAAAGUCAAAGGCUCAACCUUUGAAAGCCGAUGGAUACUGCGGAGCUAGAGUACGGAAGAGGCGAGUGGAAUUCCUGGUGUAGCGGUGGAAUGCGCAGAUAUCAGGAGGAACACCAAUAGCGAAGGCAGCUCGCUGGGACGUUACUGACACUGAGGCGCGAAAGCGUGGGGAGCGAACAGG